CGAUGAUACGCGAGGAACCGUUACCUGGGCUCGAACGUAAGAUGACUGUAGUGAAAGCUUACAUCUCUUCGGAGCAUUUUACGAGGUGCUGCAUGGUUGUCGUCAGCUCGUGCCGUGAGGUGUCGGGUUAAGUCCCAUAACGAGCGCAACCCCUACCUUUAGUUGCCAUCAGGUAAUGCUGGGGACUCUAAAGGAACUGCCUACGCAAGUAGUGAGGAAGGCGGGGAUGACGUCAAAUCAGCACGGCCCUUACGUCCAGGGCUACACACGUGCUACAAUGGCCGAUACAGAGGGCAGCUACCUGGUGACAGGAUGCAAAUCUCCAAAGUCGGUCUCAGUUCGGAUCGGAGUCUGCAACCCGACUCCGUGAAGUUGGAUUCGCUAGUAAUCGCGCAUCAGCCAUGGCGCGGUGAAUACGUUCCCGGGCCUU
rnacentral:rRNA from 1 species